rnacentral:rRNA from 1 species
CAGUAGCCGCGGUAAUACGGAGGGUGCAAGCGUUGUCCGGAUUUAUUGGGUUUAAAGGGUGCGUAGGCGGCUAUUUAAGUCAGCGGUGAAAGACUCCGGCUCAACCGGAGCAGUGCCAUUGAUACUGGAUAGCUUGAGUGUUGGAGGGGUACAUGGAAUUGAUGGUGUAGCGGUGAAAUGCAUAGAUACCAUCAGGAACACCGAUAGCGAAGGCAUUGUACUGGCCAACAACUGACGCUGAGGCACGAAAGCAUGGGGAGCGAACAGGAUUAGAUACCCCUGUAGUCCCUGUCUCUUAUAC